rnacentral:SRP_RNA from 1 species
GCCAGGCACAGUGGUGUGUGCCUGUAGUCCCAGCUACUUGGGAGGCUGAGGUGGGAGGACUGCUUGAGCCGAGGAGUUCUGGGCUGUAGUGCGCUAUGCCGAUCGGGUGUCUGCACUAAGUUCGGCAUCUGUAUGGUGACCUCCUGGGAGUGGGGGACCACCAGGUUGCCUAAGGAGGGGUGAACCGGCCAAGGCCAGAAAUGGAGCAAGUCAAAACUCCUGUGCUGAUCAGUAGUGGGAUUGCGCCUGUAACUAUCCACUGCACUCCAGCCUGGGCAACAUAGCAAGACCCCCAUCUCU